rnacentral:rRNA from 1 species
AUUCCAGCUCCAAUAGCGUAUAUUAAAGUUGUUGCAGUUAAAAAGCUCGUAGUUGGAUUUGUGGUUGCUCGCUGGGUCCUCUUUUUGAGGCAUCCGGUUGGGUGACCAUCCUUGGGUGGAUGUUGCGUGGCAUUCGGUUGUCGCGCAGGGGAUGCCCAUCGUUUACUGUGAAAAAAUCAGCGCGUUCCAAGCAGGCUUAUGCCGUUGAAUGUAUUAGCAUGGAAUAAUGAGAUAGGACCUCGGUACUAUUUUGUUGGUUUGCGCACUGGGGUAAUGAUUAAUAGGGACAGUUGGGGGUAUUCGUAUUGCAUUGUCAGAGGUGAAAUUCUUGGAUUUCUGCAAGACGAACUACUGCGAAAGCAUUUACCAAGGAUGUUUUC